CCUACGGGAGACAGCAGUGAGGAAUAUUGGUCAAUGGACGAGAGUCUGAACCAGCCAAGUAGCGUGAAGGAUGACUGCCCUAUGGGUUGUAAACUUCUUUUAUAUGGGAAUAAAAUGUUCCACGUGUGGGAUUUUGUAUGUACCAUAUGAAUAAGGAUCGGCUAACUCCGUACCAGCAGCCGCGGUAAUACGGAGGAUCCGAGCGUUAUCCGGAUUUUUUGGGUUUAAAGGGAGCGUAGGUGGAUUGUUAAGUCAGUUGUGAAAGUUUGCGGCUCAACCGUAAAAUUGCAGUUGAAACUGGCAGUCUUGAGUACAGUAGAGGUGGGCGGAAUUCGUGGUGUAGCGGUGAAAUGCUUAGAUAUCACGAAGAACUCCGAUUGCGAAGGCAGCUCACUGGACUGUAACUGACACUGAGGCUCGAAAGUGUGGGUAUCAAACAGGAUUAGAUACCCCAGUAGUC
rnacentral:rRNA from 1 species